GUGCUUACAUCACAAUCCAGCACAAUCACCCCAUCACUACUCACACCCUCCAGAGGUCCUGCCAAUGCCUCUGAGCUACAAGUGACAGGGAUGCCUUGAUUUUUCGCAUGAAUUGAACACAAACAUCCCUGAGGAAUCAACCUACAAGCACCAGGACUUUACCUUUGCACUCUGACACAUUUCUAUUCCACAGUGCAAUUCUCAGCUGUACGUCACAGGAGGAAAGAAGGCAGAUCCAUCAGCGCUUGAGCAGUUUCCCUGGGUCCCAGGCUGGCAUACCCUCAUUCGUCUACUUCCCACUGCUGAACAAGAGACAGAAAAUGGAGCAGAAAGGGCUUUCAUGCCCAAACCAGAGCAUCCCCUGGUUCUGCAGACUCAGGAGGGAGUGGCCCACAGCCCGCUGGGUGCACAGCACCCCUCACAUUCCUGGAUGAUAAACCUUUGAUAUGCCUUACACUCCAGUGCCCUGAAAAUGCAACUUUCCACAUUUAUGAAUACAAACAACGCUAUUAUCUCUGCCUUUCUAAUAUUUA